rnacentral:rRNA from 1 species
AAGUCGAACGAAGCAGCAAUACUUAGUGGCAGACGGGUGAGUAACAUGUGGGUAUCUUCCCUUUGGUGAGGAAUAACACGAGGAAACUUGUGCUAAUACCUCAUAAGUCUUUACGGAGAAAGCUUUAUGCGCCAAUGGAUGAGCCCGCACUUGAUUAGUUUGUUGGUGGGGUAAUGGCCUACCAAGACUUUGAUCAAUAGCUGAUCUGAGAGGAUGAUCAGCCACAUUGGGACUGAGACACGGCCCAAACUCCUACGGGAGGCAGCAGUAGGGAAUAUUGCACAAUGGAGGAAACUCUGAUGCAGCGAUGCCGCGUGAGUGAAGAAGGCCUUUGGGUUGUAAAGCUCUUUCGUCGGGGAAGAAAAUGACUGUACCCGAAUAAGAAGGUCCGGCUAACUUCGUGCCAGCAGCCGCGGUAAUACGAAGGGACCUAGCGUAGUUCGGAAUUACUGGGCUUAAAGAGUUCGUAGGUGGUUAAAAAAGUUGGUUGUGAAAUCCCGAAGCUUAACUUCGGAACUGCAAUCAAAACUUUUUAGCUAGAGUAUGAUAGAGGAAAGCAGAAUUUCUAGUGUAGAGGUGAAAUUCGUAGAUAUUAGAAAGAAUACCAAUUGCGAAGGCAGCUUUCUGGAUCAUUACUGACGCUGAGGAACGAAAGCAUGGGUAGCGAAGAGGAUUAGAUACCCUCGUAGUCCAUGCCGUAAACGAUGUGUGUUAGACGUUGGAAAUUUAUUUUCAGUGUCGCAGCGAAAGCAUUAAACACACCGCCUGGGGAGUACGACCGCAAGGUUAAAACUCAAAUGAAUUGACGGGGACCCGCACAAGUAGUGGAGCAUGUGGUUUAAUUCGAAGAUACGCGCAGAACCUUACCAACACUUGACAUGUUCGUCGCGACUUUAAGAGA